rnacentral:rRNA from 1 species
UACGUAGGGUGCAAGCGUUGUCCGGAAUUAUUGGGCGUAAAGAGCGUGUAGGCGGCCUCGUAAGUCCGCUGUGAAAGUCCAGGGCUCAACCCUGGAAAGCCGGUGGAUACUGCGAGGCUAGAGUCCGGAAGGGGCGAGUGGAAUUCCUGGUGUAGCGGUGAAAUGCGCAGAUAUCAGGAGGAACACCGGUGGUGUAGACGGCUAUCUGGACCGUAACUGACGCUGAGACACGAAAGCGUGGGUAGCAAACAGG